rnacentral:RNase_P_RNA from 1 species
AUGGCACGCGAGCGGCUACUCUUUAUAUGCUUUGCGUGUAGAGGGAGGAAAUUCCGGACACUCAUCCCGUUCUUUGAGCGGGAAAGCGCAGCAGUUAACGGCUGUCGGGGGAAACCCUAGAGGUGCGAACAGAGACGCCGGAACUCGAAAGAGUCCCGGUCCCGCCUUUGGCGGGAAGUCCCGACGGUAACGUCGGGGGUGAAACGGCAAAAUCCUUGCGUGAGUGCAAGACCGUAUCCAGCUCCACUUUUGCAGAUUGUCGUGUGUAAUUUCGGCAGGUAUGUGUUGAGAGUGUGCAAAAGUGGAGCUGGGUGAGUCGCUUGAAUCCGAGAGUGAUCGAGGAUCCAGAUAAAUUGUCCGCAUCCCGAGUAAUCGGGAAACAGAAUCCGGAUUAUCGCGUGCCAAUAAG